rnacentral:rRNA from 1 species
UACGUAGGGUGCGAGCGUUAAUCGGAAUUACUGGGCGUAAAGUGUGCGCAGGCGGCACCGCAAGUCGAGUGUGAAAGCCCCAGGCUUAACUUGGGAAUUGCGCUCGAAACUAUGGUGCUGGAGUGUGGCAGAGGAAGGUGGAAUUCCAGGUGUAGCGGUGAAAUGCGUAGAGAUCUGGAGGAACACCGAUGGCGAAGGCAGCCUUCUGGGCCAACACUGACGCUCAUGCACGAAAGCGUGGGGAGCAAACAGG